AUUCGACCUCAAAUCAGGUAGGACUACCCGCUGAACUUAAGCAUAUCAAUAAGCGGAGGAAAAGAAACCAACAGGGAUUGCCUUAGUAGCGGCGAGUGAAGCGGCAAAAGCUCAAAUUUGAAAUCUGGCACUUUCAGUGUCCGAGUUGUAAUUUGAAGAAGGUAUCUUUGGGUUGGUCUUGUGUAUGUUUCGUUGGAACUAGAAACAGGAAGANG
rnacentral:rRNA from 1 species